UACGUAGGUGGCAAGCGUUGUCCGGAAUUAUUGGGCGUAAAGCGCGCGCAGGCGGUUCCUUAAGUCUGAUGUGAAAGCCCACGGCUCAACCGUGGAGGGUCAUUGGAAACUGGGGGACUUGAGGGCAGGAGAGGAGAGCGGAAUUCCACGUGUAGCGGUGAAAUGCGUAGAGAUGUGGAGGAACACCAGUGGCGAAGGCGGCUCUCUGGCCUGUACCUGACGCUGAGGCGCGAAAGCGUGGGGAGCAAACAGG
rnacentral:rRNA from 1 species